AUUGAACGCUGGCGGCAUGCUUUACACAUGCAAGUCGGACGGCAGCACAGAGAAGCUUGCUUCUUGGGUGGCGAGUGGCGAACGGGUGAGUAACAUAUCGGAACGUACCGAGUAAUGGGGGAUAACUAAUCGAAAGAUUAGCUAAUACCGCAUAUUCUCUGAGGAGGAAAGCAGGGGACCUUCGGGCCUUGCGUUAUUCGAGCGGCCGAUAUCUGAUUAGCUAGUUGGUGGGGUAAAGGCCUACCAAGGCGACGAUCAGUAGCGGGUCUGAGAGGAUGAUCCGCCACACUGGGACUGAGACACGGCCCAGACUCCUACGGGAGGCAGCAGUGGGGAAUUUUGGACAAUGGGCGCAAGCCUGAUCCAGCCAUGCCGCGUGUCUGAAGAAGGCCUUCGGGUUGUAAAGGACUUUUGUCAGGGAAGAAAAGGCUGUUGCUAAUACCGACAGCUGAUGACGGUACCUGAAGAAUAAGCACCGGCUAACUACGUGCCAGCAGCCGCGGUAAUACGUAGGGUGCGAGCGUUAAUCGGAAUUACUGGGCGUAAAGCGAGCGCAGACGGUUACUUAAGCAGGAUGUGAAAAUCCCCGGGCUCAACCUGGGAACUGCGUUCUGAACUGGGUGACUAGAGUGUGUCAGAGGGGAGGUAGAAUUUCCACGUUGUAGCAGUGAAAUGCGUAG
rnacentral:rRNA from 1 species